CACAGCGCCCGGCCAGAGGUAGGGUCUUUAAAGAGGUAAGUAAGGUAAAAUGAGGGCACAUGGGUGGGCCCUAAUCCAAUAUGACUAUUAUCCUUAAAAAAAAAAGAAAAGAAAAGUAAGACACAGAUACAUGUAGAGGGAAGACCAAGUGAAGCCACAGGGAGAGGACAGCCACCUACAAUCCAAAGAAAGAGGCCUCAGGAAAAAGUAACACUGCUAGACUUCUAGCCUCUAGAAGUGAGAAAGUAAAUUUUUGUUGUUUAAGCUGCCCAGUGUGUGAUACUUUAUGAAUGGCAGUUUUAGCAAACAAAUAUAGCUCUCAAGGUACUCCCAAAGAAGUGGGAGCUUAUAAUUUGGGGCUUAGGUCAUUCCAUUUAUUUCUAGCUUAUAUUUCCCAGAUGAAAAAGAAUGAAGGGGAACUUGGGCAUUUAUUCCCAGAACUGAUUACUUCCACUCCUUGGUGAGCCACGUCCAAACUGUGAUGUUAAAUACAGAAGUCUGAGAAAAGGACUCAAACUCACUUUUAACCAAAGUUAUGUGCAUAUGUGAAAAAUCAGCUUGACUAGCUGGGAGAAAGAGAAUUUGCCAUUAAAAUAUGGUUUGAAACUCACAGGAUUCAAAAUUUGGAUUGUAAGUAACAGUAUAGAAAGUUGAUUACUGUCUUUAGGUGAGUAACCAGGAAGAUCUGAAUUUGAACCUAAACAUUAACACUUAUUAAUGGUAUGGUUUGGUCAAGUUACUUAUCUCUUUAAGCCUCUGUUUCCUCAUUUAUAAAAAAAGGGAUGCUUCAUGUGGUUGUUAUUAUAUAAUGAUUAAAUGAGUUAAUAAUGGGCUAUUAUAGAAAUGUAUAAUAAAUAUUAGCUGUGAUUUUUUAUAGUAAUAUUAAAACAUCGAAUUGUUUAAACAGUAGCUUGCUGAUAAGAAAGAAAUAUGUGCUUUUUUGCAGGCAAACUGGCACUACCCUUGCAAUGGUUUCACAAUGGGUACCAAAUGCCAUGGAUGCUAUUCUUUUCUAAUUACUGCAGUGGCUGAUGUGGAGACCUCUGGUGGUUCUAUAUUCUCAAGCACAAUAGUGAUGAAUUACCUUGCAAGGAAAUGUCCUCAAUGCUUGCAUACAAGAUUAUUAACUAAGGGUGUAGAGAUACUUCCUUGGGCCAGGCUGGGCUGUGGUUAAUUGUGGUGUUCUUUAUGAAUUCUUUUGAACUGAGGGUGGUUUUCUCUUCUAGGUACCUGUGUAUGUAUUAGGAAGUGGGAUACGGUUAGUGACUUAUUUUUAGAUCCUCUCUGACUCUUAGCUUGGCCUCUUGUCUGUUAUUGCAAUUCCAGAUACCAUAGCUUCCUUGAUUACCACUGCUGCACUAGCUCGCUUUACUUUUUGUGGCAAAACAGUUGAUCAUUGAGGCAGAAGAAAAUAAAGCAUGCAUAGCCAAUGGCUGAAAAAUAGAUUUCUUUCACAAACUUAGAGGAGCUGUAGCUCAGGCCUGGGUGACCACGACAUUGCCCAGGACCUCUCAAAAUAGGAAUGUUCUUUCCCCCUGAAACUGUGGGGAUUAGUGUUGUGGGCCUGGGAGUUCCUGAAAUGAGUGCCUGUUGGACUUCCCCAGGGUACAGCGUGGGACCCUGCACUUUCCUGGCAGUGGGGGGUGGGGCUCAGUUCUCAUGGACACCCUUCCUGACACCUGCUGUGGUUGAGCUCCCAGAAAAGAGAGUAGGACAGAUCCUGGGGGAGAAGAAGAGAAGAAAGCAAGGUUCCCAAGCAACAAAGUGGAGAAGACCAUGGCAGCUCCAUAGUGGAAGGCCUUAGAAGAGGUCCUUUGGUAUAAAUGUUCAUGAAGACUUUCAGGCUAUUUCCUAACUGGGAAGAUAAUAAGACACAUUCUUUCUUGGAGUCCUGACCAGCCGCCUAUUCAAAUUUGAAGGAAAAUCAUCUGAAACGUGCACAUCAUGGCGAAGAGAAACCUGGAAAGCAGGAAAGCCAGAGGGGAGCUGGGGUGAUGGUGGACACCUAGCAAGGAGCCAGAAUGCAAGGAGAGAAAACAGCGUGAAAGGCCAGACCUAUUUUGAGACCAACCCCUGAGUCACAGAGUAACAGAAAGCAGAGAGCAAACCUGUCUGGAGUCAGAACAGUUUAUUUUGCCUUCCGUGCCAUAAAUCUACAUGGGCAGCUCUUUUGGGGAAUUCUGUAUACUCAGUAGGUCAGUUUUAUUCUGGUUUUCAUAUUAAGCUACAACCUCCAACCUAGCCUUUAUCAAUAAUAAAGACACUCCUUUAUUUGUGUUCUCAAUUUGUUUAUAACCUGGGCAGGAAACAGAGAAAGCACAAAUAUAUCGUUUCAGGAAUGAAUAAGGAAACAUUGGUAAGAUACAGUAAGUACUAAAAAAUAAAAAGAACAUACUAUGACUAACGAAAUACCAGUUAACUUAAAAACUUUGAUGAAGUAGACAACUUCAUAGAAAAAUAAAAAUUUACCAGAACUGACACAAGAAGAAACAGAUCAUUAUAAUCAUUGACAAUAUUCAAUCUUAACAUUUUUAAA